AGAGUUUGAUUCUGGCUCAGGACGAACGCUGGCGGUGUGCUUAAUACAUGCAAGUCGAGCGGACUAUAGGGGCUUGCUCCUAUAGUUAGCGGCGGACGGGUGAGUAACGCGUGAGCAACCUGCCCACAUCUGGGGAAUAACACAUAGAAAUGUGUGCUAAUACCGCAUAAGACCACAGAGAGGCAUCUCUCAGGGGUAAAAGAUUUAUCGGAUGUGGAUGGGCUCGCGUACCAUUAGAUAGUUGGUGGUGUAACGGACUACCAAGUCGACGAUGGUUAGCCGACCUGAGAGGGUGAUCGGCCACAUUGGGACUGAGAUACGGUCCAG
rnacentral:rRNA from 1 species